rnacentral:tRNA from 1 species
UGGUGUAGCUCAGUUGGUAGAGCGCCGGUUUUGUACUCCGGGGGUCGCGGGUUCGAAUCCUGUCGCC